UACGUAGGGUGCGAGCGUUAAUCGGAAUUACUGGGCGUAAAGCGUGCGCAGGCGGUUUUGUAAGCCAGAUGUGAAAUCCCCGGGCUUAACCUGGGAAUGGCAUUUGGGACUGCAAGGCUCGAGUGCGGCAGAGGAGACUGGAAUUCCUGGUGUAGCAGUGAAAUGCGUAGAUAUCGGGAGGAACACCAAUGGCGAAGGCAGCUCGCUGGGACGUUACUGACGCUGAGACGCGAAAGCGUGGGGAGCAAACAGG
rnacentral:rRNA from 1 species